rnacentral:rRNA from 1 species
AAACUGAGAGUUCGAUCCUGGCUCAGGAUGAACGNNNNNNNNNNCGUGCCUAACACAUGCAAGUCGAACGAAGCUAUGAGACGGAAGCCUUCGGGUGGAAGACUGAUAGACUGAGUGGCGGACGGGUGAGUAACGCGUGGGCAACCUGCCCCAUACCGGGGGAUAGCAGUUGGAAACGACUGGUAAAACCGCAUAAGCGCACGGUAAGGCAUCUUACAGUGUGAAAAACUCCGGUGGUAUGGGAUGGGCCCGCGUCUGAUUAGCCAGUUGGUGAGGUAACGGCUCACCAAAGCGACGAUCAGUAGCCGGCCUGAGAGGGCGGACGGCCACAUUGGGACUGAGACACGGCCCAGACU